rnacentral:rRNA from 1 species
UACGAAGGGGGCUAGCGUUGUUCGGAAUUACUGGGCGUAAAGGGCGCGUAGGCGGCCUUGCGCGUCGGGUGUGAAAGACCUGGGCUCAACCCGGGAAUGGCGCCCGAUACGGCAGGGCUCGAGUGUGGGAGAGGAUGGUGGAAUUCCCAGUGUAGAGGUGAAAUUCGUAGAUAUUGGGAAGAACACCGGUGGCGAAGGCGGCCAUCUGGACCAUAACUGACGCUGAGGCGCGAAAGCGUGGGGAGCAAAC